GAAUCAGUUUAACCCAGGAUUCUGUUUAAUGAUCUAGAGUUAACUAGUUCAAGUUUUAAAAGUCUUGUGUGUUUCAGAUUCAAGAAGGACAAAGCUAACUACUCCUUAAAUACAGAUGACCCUACCAUCUUCAACUCCACCUUGAACUCAGACUACCAGGUGGUGCAGAAAUACAUGGAUUUCACUGAAGAGGAGUUCAAGAGACUGAAUAUAAAUGCAGCAAAGUCCUGCUUUCUUCCUGCAAAGGAGAAAGAGGAGCUUCUUGAACAACUCUAUGAGGCCUACGGCAUGCUGAAAAAAACAGGCUUUUGAGCUCAGUACUGUUAUAAACAAGUUUGCAGCGAGCAGAGCCUUUCAGGACAUUUGCCUUCUCACACGAUUGUGGAUCCUGAUUCCUUGAAACUGGAGAACUCGUACACACAUUUCUCAGUGAAAUUUUUACACAAAAACAAAGACCACACAUAAAAACUUUCAACUUUAGAAGUUAACAUGCUGUUCGUUAAAAUAAAUGUUACACAUGUCAUUUAACCACCGUUACAGCAUACUGGUUUUGACCAAAUGUUGUUGCCUUUCAUCUACAUAAACAUUUUUACAAGUAUUGUAAUAUCUGUAGCCUAAACAUUAAAUAUUGGUCUUAUUUCAUAUUUACUCAAGUCUAAGUCACUAUACUUUAUGCUCUUCUCAAUAUAUGCACAGAAUAUGACAAUGUAAUAAAGAAAAAAAUCUUUUAUAUGAA